GAGGAGCCCCUACUGGUCUUGCCCUGGCCUGGGCAACCUGGGCCCAUUGUCCUGCCGUUAAACUUGCAAAUUUGGUCCCCUGUGUGUUCUUGGAGAGGCUUCCUAGGGAAGAUAUAUGCUGGGAAGAGGUUUGCUUUGUAACUUCAACCUGUCGUUACCCCAAAGGCAAGAGGUGACAGCUCAUCCUGCCCAGGAAAAUGCAGGAUAAACGAGAGCAAGAAAUCACCCCUCUUCUUAAUGUGUCUCUCCAGGAGUGCCAUGGUAUUGGGGUUGGAAAGAGAGCAGUGACCACGUUUUACAAUGUUGCAGGCUUCAGGUUCUCCUAGACAAGAGGCCUCAGAAAGGGCUAGGUUUGAACCCGCCACCUCUGGCAUAUGGGACCGGCACCCUACUCUUUGAGCCACAGGCGCCGCCCCGGGAAAGUUCAGAAUCUGAAGAUGACACAGAGAAGUCAGAAGGAUCUUCCUGAGACGUGUGUAAUCGCACCCCCAUGAUCUCUUUUGCUUUGGCACAGAUGUCAGAAAGCACCCUUCCUGGGAGUAAUUGCCCAAAUGUGAUGGUGUCACAGUCCUGACCCCAGGGGCUGCAGAAGACAGGAGGAACAGAACUGCAGCGAGGAUCAGAACAAGGAAAUGGGGGCCUGCUUGCCUUGUGGGGGUGGGGCCACCCAAACCCUGCUGGCCCCCUUACCUCACCCCCAUCCCUGACAUCACAGUUCCCAUGACUGUGGCAGGUGCACUGAAUCCCUGAAUGCAUAGAACAUACUUUUAAAAGUAUGUAGAGAAGGAGAGACAUUAAUCACCUCAUCAGGGAAGAAAUUGGCUUCCUUUCCUCCUCUCCGGUGAAUUUUUCUUCAUGAGAAACCAAGAGAUAAGGAUAUAUAUAAGGAAGUUAAAAGCAGAAGGAUCAUACAGGAGUCCCUUUAUGGGAGACCCUUGGGAUAUUAAAGACAGAUCAACAGACAGGGUCAAUCAGCAGAAAAGGCCAAAUGGUCAACAGUAAUAUUAGCAAGGUUCACGUGUGUAUGUGGCCUCAUUUAGAAAGUACUUUCAUGUCCAUUAUUCCACAUGCUGCUCAAAACCACCAUGUGAAGCCCAGACACCAGUGUUCAGGUCAAAGAGGAAUCUGAGCACCUAGGAAGUCAAAGUGGUUAUGCAAAUCCAGGGGACAGAAGUUCCAAAGCCAAACUAAUAGGUAGUCCUUCCUCACCAUUCUCAUCCUCAUACUGUCCACACCCAUUGCCCGGAGAUGUGUAGAGCAGAGACUCUGAGAAGUACCUCAGGUCCCAUUCAAUCCUGUCUCCUUUCAGGGCUCUGUUUUCCCAGCGAGACUGUAUCUAGCAAAUGACACCCUCAGAGAUCAUAGACCUGGGGCCUCAGAGAAAAACAGGGAAGCUCACCCUUGCAGAGACCGGGGUGAAUAUACAGAACCUUACCUCUGGUUGUUCCAAGUUUCCACCUCCUCUUGGCUCUGCCCUGAUAAUGAAAACAAAAAGGAAAGAGUAAAGUCUGGAUUAACUUCUCUCCUCCUCUUCUCUAGAAAGCUCAGACAUCCAUUAUCCACAAGUAAUAUGACUCCCUAUUUUAAUUAAUAGAAUUUUAUUUUCCUUUAUUAAUUUUUUAAAGUGAUAAAAUAAUUCCAAUUUGUCCUUUGAAAAAUUCAAAGCCUUUGGACUGUGAAAGCCUCACUUGGUGUCCUCAGAAAUCCUGUGCUCAAGGAGAACACAGGAUCAGAAGACAACUGUCGCAUCUCCCUCAAGAGGACCCUGUAACCUGGGGACAGAGCUCAGUGGCUUUUGGCCUUGCUUUGCUUCAAGGUUGAGUGACAACUCACAUGACAAAGUGAUUCAACAUCAAAUUCUAGGACAGACUAUUUUCCUUCAAAUAACUCAAACUUUCUAAAUAUGCUAAACCAGGACCAUGAAACCUCUGUGUUUAGGGUUUAUUCCUGGAACCCACCACAACGCCCAGGCAGGCAGCCUGUGAGCCUGAGGUAGAAACCUCCAUCCUCCAGAGCCCCAGCCCUGCCUACCCUCUCCUAGAAUAGGAAUGUUCUAGCAAUUUCUCAGCCAGCCCGGCUUAUUUAGAUGUGUGGGAAUAGGAACGGGAAACAACAAAGAGUUCCUCCAGGGUGUUUCUUACCAUGUAGGCAUCGUUCUUAUCCCACGUGAUCGUAAAGCAGGAGACCUUCAUUUCAUGGAAUAUAUAGACUAGCAACAACCCCAACCCAACCAGUGAGGUGAGUUGGGGGUACACGUGGAGCAGAGCCGAGCGGAAGCUCUGCCAUAUUUCAAAAUGGAGCACAGCAUCCAUCAUCCGACCAGUGAAGCUGCGUGAAGCAACUGAGUGCCCACGCUUGGCUAUAGCCCCAGGCCUGCAUCACAGAGCACAGCAGAGUCACAGAGGCUUCUGAGGAGGCAGAGGGGAUGACAGGUGUGGCACAGCACAACCCACCAGGUCUGUCCUCCCCUCCUGGGCCCUCUGGGUCCCGCUGCCUCCCCUGCCAUCUUAUUUUCCAACCACCCUUUCUUUAUAUCAUAUAUCUGCUUCAGUGAAAUUUUCUAUUUGUUUUAUCCAUAAUCCAGAUAUUACCAGAAUUCCCUGUUACAGGCCAGAGCCCUUGAAUCUCAAAAGUCUGAAAUAGCACCUGGAAUUUCUGCUUGUACGCAGUAUUUAUACCCUCAGGAUGAUACGUGUCCUCACAUCCAAGCUUAUCUCCAGGAUGCUCUUGUUCAAUCCCUUUGGAGGAGGCUGUUCCCUUAUUCUUGCCUCCCAGUGUCAAGAAUGAGCACUGGUGCCUAGCCAAGGAGGGAGUGACCACAGACACAAAGCAAUCACUGUCAACAUGCACUUGUUACCUCUCAUAGUGAGACAGGACCCUCUCUGAGAAUGAGGAAGAGACCCUGAACUCUGAACCACUACUUCCUACAUAGGCUGAGUAAGAGAACUGGUUUAUCCCCCCUUUCCCAGGCAGGAUUGGGUGUGUCCUCCUGCCUUUGGGGUAACUGACAGGUUAGGGUUCCAUAACAGACUUCUUAACAGCAUGCACGUUUCCCACGCACCUUCCCAUGAGUGCAUAGAGGUCGAAACUUGCCAGUUUCGUUAAAUGAUAAUGGCCCAGUAAGCCCAGGUCAGUGUAUGGUCACUAGGAGGUACUCACUAUGUUCCAAGUGGGGGAACAGUCUCUAGCUGGAACUCACCGAGACCCUGCAUAUCCUUAGGGAACUGCAGGUCCCGCCUGGGAGAGGUGUUCACUGAUACUUCACUGAGCUUCUGUUCUGGUCCCUAUGAGCUUUCAGUGUUUGUGUGAAAACUCCUUUCUGUGGUUGUUAUUUCAUUCUUUCUUGAGCAUCACUUAGAUGACCUAGAGGGAAGAAUUUUGUUCAUUGAGAUAACCAUUCUAUAAGGAAUGUUAAUGUGGAUGAAUAUUCUUAUCUCCUUGAAGAGUAAAACAACAAGUUACCCUUUCUGCCGAUGAUGUAAUAUUCAGCUUGUUGAAACGAGAAACUAACAAUCUUGUUGAACAGUCUCCCUUCUGCCUGAGAUCUGACACUCAGCCUGUGGCCGACGGGCAUGUACCUAUCAGGUUCCUGUGCAAGACCUGAGACUUUCACUGAUGUGGCCAUUCUAAUCCAGCUGUGUAUUUACUGUAUGUCUAGUUGACAUGAUCUCCUGGACCCCAAAUUAGUUUACCUGCUAUCACAGUCUAACCCCAUCCUUCCUUUAUGAAAAGAGCUUUCUUACUGAGCAGAACACCUGGGAGGAUUCAGUAAUGCAGAAGAGUGCUUCUCAGUACUGGUAGGCCUAAUACUCCUUUGUGUAAGACAGUUUGUGACAGUCCUUUCACUCAAAAUACAAGCUGCAUAACUUACCAGUACACAUAAUUUUUUUUUUUUUUUUUGCAGUUUUUGGCCGGGGGGCUGGGUUUGAACCCGCCACCUCCGGCA